GCGAGAGUGGCGAAACUGGCAGACGCGCUGGACUUAGGAUCCAGUGGGCGGAUCGCCCUUGGGGGUUCGACUCCCCCCUCUCGCA
rfam:Candidatus Rokubacteria bacterium 13_1_40CM_68_15 13_1_40cm_scaffold_14882, whole genome shotgun sequence.